rnacentral:piRNA from 1 species
ACUAAGGGCGGCAGUGUGGAGGCUGU